rnacentral:rRNA from 1 species
CAAUCAUCAUGCCCCUUAUGAUUUGGGCUACACACGUGCUACAAUGGACAAUACAAAGGGCAGCGAAACCGCGAGGUCAAGCAAAUCCCAUAAAGUUGUUCUCAGUUCGGAUUGUAGUCUGCAACUCGACUAUAUGAAGCUGGAAUCGCUAGUAAUCGUAGAUCAGCAUGCUACGGUGAAUACGUUCCCGGGUCUUGUACACACCGCCCGUCACACCACGAGAGUUUGUAACACCCGAAGCCGGUGGAGUAACCAUUUGGAGCUAGCCGUCGAAGGUGGGACAAAUGAUUGGGGUGAAGUCGUAACAAGGUAGCCGUAUCGGAAGGUGCGGUUGG